GUAGGUGAACCUGCGGAAGGAUCAUUAUUGAAAUAAACCUGAUGGGUUGUUGCUGGUUCUCUAGGGAGCAUGUGCACGCCUUGUCAUCUUUAUAUCUCCACCUGUGCACCUUUUGUAGACCUUCUAGGUCUAUGUUUCUUCAUUUACCCCAAUGUAUGUUAAUAGAAUGUUGUGACUAUAAAAAUAUAUACAACUUUCAGCAACGGAUCUCUUGGCUCUC
rnacentral:misc_RNA from 1 species